ensembl:misc_RNA 7SK 7SK RNA
GGAUGUGAGGGCGAUCUGGCUAUGACAUCUGUCACCCCAUUGAUCACCAGGGUUGAUUUGGCUGAUCUGGCUGGCUAGGCGGGUGUUCCCUUCCUCCCUCAACGAUCCAUGUGCGUCCCUCCCGAAGCUGCGUGCUCGGUCGAAGAGGACGACCAUCCCUAACAGAGGAGUCGUUCCUUGGUCAAGGGUAUACGAGUAGCUGCGCUCCCCUGCUAGAACCUCCAAACAAGCUCUCAAGAAAAUGCAAAAGCAAAUCAGAGACACCACCACUGACAUAAAUAGAUGGGGAAUUAAAGUGCAUUCACUUUCU